rnacentral:tRNA from 1 species
GAGGGUAGAGCUCAGUGGUAGAGCACGUGCUUAGCAUGCACAGGAUCCGGGGUUCAAUCUCCAGUACCUCCA